rnacentral:rRNA from 1 species
GAUGAACGCUAGCUACAGGCUUAACACAUGCAAGUCGUGGGGCAUCAUGAUGUAGUAAUACAUUGAUGGCGACCGGCGCACGGGUGAGUAACGCGUAUCCAACCUACCCUCCACUCAAGUAUAGGCUUCCAAAAGGGAGAUUAAUCCUUGAUAUCGUCAUUCUCUCUCCUGUUAGAAUGAUAAAAGGACAUCGUUUCGGUAGAGGAUGGGGAUGCGUUCCAUUAGGUAGUAGGUGGUUUAACAGGCCACCUAGCCGAUGAUGGAUAGGGGUUCUGAGAGGAAUAUCCCCCACACUGGUACUGAGAUACGGACCAGACUCCUACGGGAGGCAGCAGUGAGGAAUAUUGGUCAAUGGGCGCAAGCCUGAACCAGCCAUGUAGCGUGAAGGAUGACGGUUUUUUUGAUUGUAAACUUCUUUUCUGUGCGAUUAAAGUGUGGCAUUUAUGCCAUAUUGCAGUAUCUCAGGAAUA